UCAACAAUUACAGUCAGGGCAGUCUUCUAAUUGUAUCAGCAACAUAUACUGCAACGUGGACCACCGGGUCAAGAACUCCAGCUUGGAAAAGUACCUUUACCAUGCACUAUGCAAUGACAGCUACCCAAAUGCUAAGAAUAACAGCCGCCGAUAACUCCGACCCUGAGCUCCAUCCAUCCGCUGCCCCCUACCCCGUCCGCCUGCCCCGGAGUCGCAGCCGUGGAUAGCCCCAUCAACCGCAACCUUCACCAGCCACGCACAAACCUUCCGAAGACAAAUUCCAGUGAGCGACGCAUUUGUGGGAUAAAAAAAAUCUCGGUAGCCGUGUCAUUCCCGUCCGCUGCACUUUCCUGUGGUGGAUCUUGAUUCAGGCGGCACAUCGUUUGUUUGAUCUGUUCAUUGACAUGAUCUUAUCUCCUCCCAUCUCUUGGCUUUUAUAUCAAGGUUCCUAUUUGCUGUUGAAAUCUCAGAAGAAAUUUAUGGAAGGUUUGUCUAUCAUUUCCAAUUUAUAUUCGCAGGUUAGUCUUCCCCAAAA